UACAGGGGGUGCAAACGUUGCUCGGAAUUAUUGGGCGUAAAGCGCACGUAGGUGGUUAUUUAAAUUGGAUGUGAAAGCCCUGGGCUCAACCCAGGAAGUGCAUCCAAGACUGGAUAGCUAGAAUGUGGAAGAGGGUCGCGGAAUUCCCGGUGUAGAGGUGAAAUUCGUAGAUAUCGGGAGGAACACCAGUGGCGAAGGCGGCGACCUGGUCCAACAUUGACGCUGAGGUGCGAAAGCGUGGGGAGCAAACAGG
rnacentral:rRNA from 1 species